GAGGGUAGAGCCCAAUGGUGAAGCUUGUGCUUAGCACGCACGAGGUCCUGGGUUCAAGCCCCACUACCUCCA
rnacentral:tRNA from 1 species